GCCCCAGACUCCUACGGGAGGCAGCAGUGGGGAAUAUUGCACAAUGGGGGAAACCCUGAUGCAGCGACGCCGCGUGAGUGAAGAAGCGUUUCGGCGCGUAAAGCUCUGUCAGCGGGGAAGAAACACGGUUCGCGAGAGCCGCGGACGGUACCCGACCAAGAAGCCCCGGCUAACUACGUGCCAGCAGCCGCGGUAAUACGUAGGGGGCAAGCGUUAUCCGGAUUUACUGGGUGUAAAGGGAGCGUAGACGGUGAUGCAAGUCAGAAGUGAAAGCCCGUGGCUCAACUCCGGGACUGCUUUUGAAACUGUGUGACUGGAGUGCAGGAGAGGUAAGCGGAAUUCCUGGUGUAGCGGUGAAAUGCGUAGAUAUCAGGAGGAACACCAGUGGCGAAGGCGGCUUACUGGACUGUAACUGACGUUGAGGCUCGAAAGCGUGGGGAGCAAACAGGAUUAGAUACCCUCGUACA
rnacentral:rRNA from 1 species